GAUGAACGCUGGCGGCGUGCCUAAUACAUGCAAGUCGAGCGAACAGACGAGGAGCUUGCUCCUCUGACGUUAGCGGCGGACGGGUGAGUAACACGUGGAUAACCUACCUAUAAGACUGGGAUAACUUCGGGAAACCGGAGCUAAUACCGGAUAACAUGUUGAACCGCAUGGUUCAACAGUGAAAGACGGUCUUGCUGUCACUUAUAGAUGGAUCCGCGCCGCAUUAGCUAGUUGGUAAGGUAACGGCUUACCAAGGCAACGAUGCGUAGCCGACCUGAGAGGGUGAUCGGCCACACUGGAACUGAGACACGGUCCAGACUCCUACGGGAGGCAGCAGUAGGGAAUCUUCCGCAAUGGUCGAAAGCCUGACGGAGCAACGCCGCGUGAGUGAAGAAGGUCUUCGGAUCGUAAAACUCUGUUAUUAGGGAAGAACAAAUGUGUAAGUAACUAUGCACGUCUUGACGGUACCUAAUCAGAAAGCCACGGCUAACUACGUG
rnacentral:rRNA from 1 species